UUAAAUUGAAGAGUUUGAUCAUGGCUCAGAUUGAACGCUGGCGGCAGGCCUAACACAUGCAAGUCGAACGGUAACAGGAAACAGCUUGCUGUUUCGCUGACGAGUGGCGGACGGGUGAGUAAUGUCUGGGAAACUGCCUGAUGGAGGGGGAUAACUACUGGAAACGGUAGCUAAUACCGCAUAACGUCGCAAGACCAAAGAGGGGGACCUUCGGGCCUCUUGCCAUCGGAUGUGCCCAGAUGGGAUUAGCUUGUUGGUGGGGUAACGGCUCACCAAGGCGACGAUCCCUAGCUG
rnacentral:rRNA from 1 species